rnacentral:rRNA from 1 species
UACGUAGGGGGCAAGCGUUGUCCGGAAUCAUUGGGCGUAAAGAGCGUGUAGGCGGCUCGGUAAGUCCGCUGUGAAAGUCCAGGGCUCAACCCUGGAAAGCCGGUGGAAACUGUCGAGCUCGAGUCCGGAAGAGGCGAGUGGAAUUCCUGGUGUAGCGGUGAAAUGCGCAGAUAUCAGGAGGAACACCAAUGGCGAAGGCAGCUCGCUGGGACGGUACUGACGCUGAGACGCGAAAGCGUGGGGAGCGAACAGG